rnacentral:misc_RNA from 1 species
CCUCAUUGCCGGCGAUAUCGUCCCGUUCAAGCACGGCCGAUCAUGUUCGGCAUAUGCAUAUAUACAACCAGCCACCACGAGCGCACGUUUUAUGUUUUGACACGUCCACACCCGCCGCCAUCUGUCUACACUUCUGUAAGCAUCUGCCUUCCAACGACACACACGCACACGCACGCUUGAAAUGCCCUCUGAGCCGAAGAGGGCCACGAACGGUGGCACACCAGCGGCUGCCGCCGCUGAAGCUGUCCAGUCUUCGUCGAGGAGCGACCGCCUACCUUAUCGCCACCCUCUGCGCCUUUAUCUCCCGGUAGUCAUUGCGUUUGUGCUUCUCAACAACCUCGCCUUCAGAGUCGAAGUGGAUGCGACGGGCAAGAACUUGGUGCUGCCCGAAUACGUGCGUGCUAUUGCUAUGGAGCGCUACGCGCUGCGCAGAGCCAUGGCCGCCGGCCAGGUGCCGACGGAGCCGAUCCCCUUCAACGCGUUUUUGUUUUUCGAAGAGAGCGUGAUGGGGGCACUGCUUCAAGCAGGCCUCUUCCUCUUCCGUAGUCUCUCCGGUAUUCAGGCGGUGUGCGUCCUCGCUUGGCUGAUACACUUGUUCGAGCUCGGCGUGUGCUUCCGCAUCUGCUGGUCCUGCAACGCAUCCUUUGCAGUGACGCUGCGCUACAUGUUCUGCACGUGUGUCGGCGGCUUUACUCAGCUUUCGCCGCUCAUCAAGGCGAGGGAUGUGUGGGUGGAGGAGAUGCGUACCACCGCCGCCGUCACCGCGGCGCCGCAGUCGAAGAAGAACCAAUGAAAGUGCUAGCGCGCAUGCAUUCGAGGAAACGGAAGAUGGGAGGGAAGUGGGACGAUAAAUGUGAUGGGCGUGCGCGGGGUCGAGGGACGCGCGAAGCUCAUCGGAAACGGUUUCGGUCCUCUUCACGCGGCGAACUCCCCCUUCCCGGUCAAUUCCUGUAUGUGUGCGCGUAUGCACCUCUUGAGCGCUGCCACCGCUGUGCACGUCUGUGCUUCACCCGGCCCUUCUCUCCUCCGCAUGGCCGUUCGCCGCAGCUCCGGUGAGACGACCACCACGACGACGAGGAAGGAGGGGGGAGGGUGACACUCAUGUCUGCAUACUUUUUUUUUGUCUGCGUUUUCACAUCUGUGCGCGUUGACGUGUGUGCAUCCGCCGCCCCCACUCUCCCCCUUCCUUAGCAACCACGUCGGUCAAGGGCGCUGCCAUUCGCGGCCCCCCUUCCUCCUUCGCUAGCCUUCAUAUUCCCUCCUUCGACUCGGCGGAUCUCGAAGGGGACGCUUUCCCAUUGCCCAAACAACGGGACAUAGAGAGAAC